AUUGAACGCUGGCGGCAGGCCUAACACAUUCAAGUCGAACGAGUGGCGGACGGGUGAGUAAUGUCUGGGAAACUGCCUGAUGGAGGGGGCUAACUACUGGAAACGGUCGCUAAUACCGCAUACCAUCAUUUUUCCCCAGAUGGGAUUGGCUGGUUGGUGGGGUAACGGCUCACAAAGGCGACGACCCCUAGCUGGUCUGAGAGGAUGACCAGCAACACUGGAACUGAGACACGGUCCAGACUCCUACGGGAGGCAGCAGUGGGGAAUAUUGCACAAUGGGCGCAAGCCUGAUGCAGCCAUGCCGCGUGUAUGAAGAAGGCCUGCGGGUUGUAAAGUACUUUCAGCGGGGAGGCGGUACCCGCAGAAGAAGCACCGGCUAACUCCGUGCCAGCAGCCGCGGUAAUAC
rnacentral:rRNA from 1 species